rnacentral:ncRNA from 1 species
UGCUCUCCUUCCAAGCUUUGUUUAAGCGAAAAGAGGGCAUUUCAGCACUACGUCACUUUGUAUUAAAUGGCAAAUGUGAGAUGCAGUGUAUCGAAUGUUCAAUUCUAAUAUAAGAAAUUAACGGUUUAAGCUCACCUUAAGUGAGGCCAUUCACCCAUAGAGAGUGCUAGGCACGCAUAACGUUAAUGAUUACUAGAGAGAGGGAGAGAGAGAGAGAGAGAGCAAUUCCCAAGAGUUGUGUUGCUAGAUAGUGCAGUCCUAAGCCCUAAGCGGCAUACUCCGUCUAAAACUAAAUAUAACCAUGAGACCGAUGAGGGAAAGUUGAAAAUAACUCUGAAUGGAGAGUUAAUUAUAAUAAAUAGUACGUGAAACUGUUUAGACGCUAAGCCCGAUGAUCCCGAAUAUCCAUGAUGGGAAAUUCCUCAUUAUGAAUUAUAUGAAUGGUCUGCAUUUUUUCCAUACCGCUAUAGACACCGUAUGUAUCUACAAGUACACGCAAUGGGCGUCUAUAGACGUCCCGGAUUAACAUUAAAAUUGAUUAUAAAAUCAUUAGCUUUAAAGUCUAUUCAAAUUAUUACGCUCGCAUUAUAAAUAUAUAGAUUUAUAUUUAUACAGUGCUUAAACAUAUUUACAUAUUUUAUGAUGACAUAUAAGUCAAUCGACUUUUAUGUUUAUUAUAUGCACUUAUAUGAUUUACGAUACGAAAGUUUCAUUCAGGUUGCUUUCGGGACUCAUCUUGAAACACGGACCAAGGACUCAGAAUAUAUUUGCAAGUUUUUGGGUUUUUUAAAGACCUUAUAGCGAAAAUAACAUGACAAAAUUAAUAUGGAAUUAAUUUUUAGUUCUAGCAUAUUUAGACUCUUAAUUCAAGCCCGGGGCCUCUAUCUAGAAGGCCGAAACGAUCUUCAUCUAUUCUCCUCAAACUGUAGAUGGGUAAGAAACUCAUCUUGCUUGGUAUGAACGUUGUUCUUGUGACAUAAUGUGGCCAGUGAGCCACGUUUGGUGCGCAGAACUAGCAUUAUGGGAAGCGCCUAACGUAAUGUUACGGCGUCCAAAUUAACAAUUUAUACAGAUACCUUGAAAGGCGUUGAUUGCUUAAAACAGCAGGACGGUGCACAUGAAAGUCGCAAUCCGCUAAGUAGUGUGUAAUAACUCACCUGCCGAAGGAACUAGCCCUUAAAAUGGAGAGCCUUUAACUUGAACACCUAUACAUUACCGCUUAAGUAAAUGUUUGAAAUUCAAUUAAUUUGGCUUUGUAAACUUUAAAGCUUUAGCGAGUAGGAGGAUACAACAGCGAGCGUAGAAGUGUUUGGCGUAACCCCGCAUGGAACCGCCAAGAAUGCAGAUCUUGAUGGUAGCAGCAAAAAAUCGAAUGAAACCUGUGAGGACUAAAGUGGAGAAGGGUUUCGUGUGAACAAUGGUUGAUCACGAAUGAUUGUUAGUCGGUCCUAACUUCAAGGCGGAAGCUGAAAAUUUUCAAGCUGUAUAUUAAAAAUAUAUAUUUAGAUACAUAAAUGAUGUAUAAAAACACUUGAAAAUAGUGGAAUGGAAGGGAAUACGGCUCCAGUUCCGCAACCUGUUGAGUAUCCGUUUGCUUAUGAAAUGUGAGUCUUGAGCUCAUCCUGGCAACAGGAACUGCCAUAAAUCGGCCGUCGAGAAAUAUCGGAAGAGUGUUCUUUUCUGUUUUAUAAUCGUACCAAGCUGGAAGUCUAUCGAAGAGCGAUAUGGUAGAUCGGCUAAAGAAGUAUAGCGUUUACUGUUGUGUCGAUAUUUUCUCCUCGGGCCUUGAAAAUUUAUGAUUGGACCACCAAAACUUUUCAACAGACCGUACCAGUAUUCACAGUUAGUCCACAAGGUGAAGAGUCUCUAAUC